AUUGAACGCUGGCGGCAUGCUUUACACAUGCAAGUCGGACGAGUGGCGAACGGGUGAUUAACAUAUCGGAACGUACCGAGUAAUGGGGGAUAACUAAUCGAAAGAUUAGCUAAUACCGCAUAUUAUUCGAGCGGCCGAUAUCUGAUUAGCUGGUUGGUGGGGUAAAGGCCUACCAAGGCGACGAUCAGUAGCGGGGCUGAGAGGAUGAUCCGCCACACUGGGACUGAGACACGGCCCAGACGCCUACGGGAGGCAGCAGUGGGGAAUGUUGUACAAUGGGCGCAAGCCUGAUCCAGCCAUGCCGCGUGUAUGAAGAAGGGCUUCGAGUUGUCAGAGACUUUGAUCAGGGAAGUGGUACCUGAAGAAUAAGCAUCGGCUAACUACGUGACAGCAGCCGCGGUAAUAC
rnacentral:rRNA from 1 species